rnacentral:rRNA from 1 species
AGUGAACGCUGGCGGUAGGCCUAACACAUGCAAGUCGAACGGCAGCACAGUAAGAGCUUGCUCUUACGGGUGGCGAGUGGCGGACGGGUGAGGAAUACAUCGGAAUCUACUUUUUCGUGGGGGAUAACGUAGGGAAACUUACGCUAAUACCGCAUACGACCUACGGGUGAAAGCAGGGGAUCUUCGGACCUUGCGCGAUUGAAUGAGCCGAUGUCGGAUUAGCUAGUUGGCGGGGUAAAGGCCCACCAAGGCGACGAUCCGUAGCUGGUCUGAGAGGAUGAUCAGGCACACUGGAACUGAGACACGGUCCAGACUCCUACGGGAGGCAGCAGUGGGGAAUAUUGGACAAUGGGCGAAAGCCUGAUCCAGCCAUACCGCGUGGGUGAAGAAGGCCUUCGGGUUGUAAAGCCCUGUUGUUGGGAAAGAAAAGCAGCAGGUUAAUACCCCGCUGUUCUGACGGUACCCAAAGAAUAAGCACCGGCUAACUUCGUG